GACGAGCGCUGGCGGCGUGCUUAACACAUGCAAGUCGAGCGGUAAGGCUCCUUCGGGAGUACACGAGCGGCGAACGGGUGAGUAACACGUGAGCAACCUGCCCUUCUCAUCGGAAUAAGCGUUGGAAACGACGUCUAAUGCCGAAUAUGACCUCCUUUCGCAUGAUCGGAGGUGAAAGCUCCGGCGGAGAAGGAUGGGCUCGCGGCCUAUCAGCUUGUUGGUGGGGUAACGGCCCACCAAGGCGACGACGGGUAGCCGGCCUGAGAGGGUGACCGGCCACACUGGGACUGAGACACGGCCCAGACUCCUACGGGAGGCAGCAGUGGGGAAUAUUGGACAAUGGGCGAAAGCCUGAUCCAGCAACGCCGCGUGAGGGAUGACGGCCUUCGGGUUGUAAACCUCUUUCAGCAGGGACGAAGCGAAAGUGACGGUACCUGCAGAAGAAGGACCGGCCAACUACGUGCCAGCAGCCGCAGUAA
rnacentral:rRNA from 1 species